rnacentral:rRNA from 1 species
AUUGAACGCUGGCGGCAGGCCUAACACAUGCAAGUCGAACGAGUGGCGGACGGGUGGGUAAUGUCUGGGAAACUGCCUGAUGGAGGGGGAUAACUACUGGACACGGUAGCUAAUACCGCAUACCAUCGGAUGUGCCCAGAUGGGAUUAGCUAGUAGUGGGGGUAAAGGCUACCCUAGGCGACGAACCCUAGCUGGUCUGCGAGGAUGACCAGCAACACUGGAACUGAGAAACGGUCCAGACGCCUACGGGAGGCAGCAGUGGGGAAUAUUGCACAAUGGGCGAAAGCCGGAUGCAGCCAUGCCGCGUGUAUGAAGAAGGCCUUCGGGUUGUAAAGUACUUUCAGCGGGGAGGCGUUACCCGCAGAAGAAGCACCGGCUAACUCCGUGCCAGCAGCCGCGGUAAUAC